UGGCUGCAGGAGUGGGAUCUGGACUGAGGAGGCGUGCCCUGGGCGCCCACUCUCCGUCGAUUGCGGGUUCGCCCCCCAGUCGGACCCCGACAGACACCCACUGUUGCCUCGGAUGGCAGCUCACUGUGUUUUUUCACUGUCCUCCCACUGUGAUGUGAAUCCUCCUCAAUCCCACCGGUCGAGCAGACCAGUAUCGACUGCAGUGUGUCGAAGACUGCAGACCAGUAUCGACUGCAGUGUCACAGACUGCAGACCAGUAUCGACUGCAGUGUCACAGACUGCAGACCAGUAUCGAUUGCGAUGUGUCGAAGACUGCAGACCAGUAUCGAUUGCGAUGUGUCGAAGACUGCAGACCAGUAUCGAUUGCAGUGUGUCAAAGACUGCAGGCCAGUAUCGAUUGCACUGUUGGCCCCAUUUUCGGCAAACACCAGCGCAGUUUUCAUGGGCCAUACAGAACGUGCCUGAACACGCUGCACUCAAUGCUUUUUAAUCUUCUCCAGUUCCCCAGUGCCGCUGAGGGGUUGCAGAGAAUUUUAGCAGCAGGGUGAUGUGCUAUCCCUGACAAAGAAGACACAGUGCUUUAGAACCGAACGUCCCUUUAUGCGUCUGUGACUGUGUGCCAGUGAAAAGUCACAGUUUGUUUUCAGAAAGAUCCGGUGUAAAACUAAGAACAUCACACCCCCUGCGUUUUUUUAAACAAUCUUAUUUUUUAAAUAUUUCUAGCAUAUUAUUUUAUGAAAUAAAAUAAGCCUGUGUGGCCGGCAUCUUUGAGGUUUCUGACUGGAGUCAGCAGGAUGGGACAAACGGUCUUUUUUUAAUUUGGAAGCCAUUUCUUAACACUGUCCAAAAUGCUAAAAAGGGCUCUGAAAGGAGCCUGUCCCCUCACUUUGUGUGACCAGCGCUGUAAGAAACACCACAGAUGCACACUUCAGGGAGUGAUCCAUUCUGCUUCCAAUGUUCUGGCCGGAACUUAUCCAGGCUAGCAAGUGUGUGCUUUGAAGAGCGCACCAAGGAUAAAGAUCAGAUAAGAUCACUUUAUUGGCCAUAUACAAUUUCUUGCAUUAGGAAUUUGUCUUUUCGCAUACCCCAGCUUGCUCUCCAUGAGACACACAGACAGGGAGAGAAGCUUGGGGUCAGAGCGCAGGGUCAGUCAUUUAUACAGCGCCCCUGGAGCAGCUGGGGGUAAGGGCCUUGCUCAGGGGCCCAGCGGAGUAGGAUUCCUCUGCCAGCCGCAGGAUUUGAACCGGCAACCUUCCAGCCACAGAUCCUCAGCCACAGUGCCACCACUCCACCCAUAAGAGUGUGCUUCAGUUGGUUUACACAUUGGUGCACACUCAGACGUCUGAUUCAGAUGUGAUCUAGUCUGGCAGAGGCCCAGAAGCAGCCACUGGAGACCACCUGGACAGUAAGAAAACAAAUUUGGGGAACUCUUGGGUUGUCCCCAAAUGGUAUGGUGAAGCAGUGGUCGGCAUUGCUACCUCGCAGCAUUGGGGCCCUGGGUUCAAUUCUGCACCUGGGACGCUGGUCGGUUCAUUGGCUUUUGGGAAAACUGACCCUGGAGUGAGUGUUUACGUGUCUGUGUGUGCCUGGCCAUGGACCAAGCAGGGUGUGCCCUGAUUUGUGCCCGUUGCUUGCCAGGAUAGGCUCCGUCUCCCCAGUGACCCUGAAUUGGAUAGAGUUGGAAAAUGGAUGGAUCGUCCCCUUUCCGACACCAUUCCUUACACUGUGACAGGUCACCCACUCCCUGUUGCCUUUGUAAUCUGUAUUCCGGGAGGCUGGGCUGCUUAUCGAUGUAUUAGACCAGCACCGAAUAAUAAACAAACGGUGUUGCGUGUCUCUGUCAGUGUUCGUGGAUGUCCUGUUUUGUAGUUGCCAGGUGUCUCCAUGGUAAGUUUUAAUGACGCUGUAUUUCUACAAGUUGAAGCUGUAUUUGUAAAGCCGGAGCUAAAAAAGCAGCCAACCCCCCCCUUUAAAUAAAGCUGUUCAUGGACAAGGGGUUACUGCGUGCUUCGUCUUGUUGAAUUUGUGGGGAGGGGGGCAGAGGUCGGAGGUCAAAGGUCAAAUGAGCACCAGCAGGAGAUGCCAACGUCUUGAGACAGAGCAAGAGCCAGCAUUUAACCAGCCCAGGCCUACCUUUGGAAGUGGAUCAUUUAUUUCUUGCUGGACACAUAGGGCUGCAGGAUUAGCACAGUGAAUGAGAUGGUGGUGUCUUUUCCAGCAGUGGGGGAGCUUCCAUAUUUACAUAGUGCGCCAGACAAGGCCUGAGACCAUAACAAAGCUUGACCAGCACUCAAUUACGUCUUGUGUUUUAGAAGGAGGGAAGGGGUUGUCAGAAGUGGUUCGUACUAGAAGUACUGGUGGCCUCUGGGCUGGGUUUUGGGUGGCCUGACACGAAGAAGCUGAGGACCGCCAUUUUGACGAAUCCGCUGUACAGGUGAGCCCAGCGCACCGGGGUGUCUCGGUGACUCGGCCAACACGCAGUUUUAGCUUGGCCAAAUGCAGCGGCAGCAAAAUGUCCCCACCCACACAGGUCAGCUCGGGGAUCCAAAAUGAAAAACCUGAAGCUAAUUAACGUCUGUUCUUGUGCAUCUUAACAAUGACCCACUCCUCCAGCACCAGAACAGUACCGAAUAGAAUUUUAACCGCCGUGGUCCCGACACGGGUGGGUCACGCCGGGGCAACAGCAGUGCAGUUUCCCUGGGCAUGCAGAACGUGCCUGAACGUCGGGAAGUCAUUACUGUUCAUGUUAGUUUAGAUUUUAUCUCAAAUACACAAGCUGCG
ensembl:lincRNA